AGUGAACGCUGGCGGCGUGCCUAAUACAUGCAAGUCGAACGGAGUGGCGCACGGGUGAGUAAUGUAUAGCUAAUCAGCCCUACACUAGAGGACAACAGUUGGAAACGACUGUUAAUACUCUCGAGUGGAGGUUGAGGCUAUCUUGGUUCAGCUAGGUGGUGAGGUAAUGGCUGACUCAGGCUAUGACCCAUAACUGGUCAGAGAGGAUGAUCAGUCACACUGUAAGUGAGGCACGGUCCAGGAUCCUACGGGAGGCAGCAGUAGGGAGUAGUGCUCAAGGGGGGAGUCCCUGAAGCAGCAACGCCGCGUGAAGUAUGACACUUUUCGGAGCAUAAACUCCUUUUAUUAGGGAAGCGGUACCUAACGAAUAAGCACCGGCUAACUCCGUGCCAGCAGCCGCGGUAAUUC
rnacentral:rRNA from 1 species